rnacentral:rRNA from 1 species
UGGGGAAUAUUGCACAAUGGGGGAAACCCUGAUGCAGCGACGCCGCGUGGGUGAAGAAGUAUUUCGGUAUGUAAAGCCCUAUCAGCAGGGAAGAAGAUGACAGUACCUGACUAAGAAGCCCCGGCUAACUACGUGCCAGCAGCCGCGGUAAUACGUAGGGGGCAAGCGUUAUCCGGAUUUACUGGGUGUAAAGGGAGCGUAGGUGGCAUAGCAAGCCAGAAGUGAAAACCCGGGGCUCAACCCCGUGGAUUGCUUUUGGAACUGUUAAGCUUGAGUGCAGGAGGGCAGGCGGAAUUCCUAGUGUAGCGGUGAAAUGCGUAGAUAUUAGGAGGAAC